rnacentral:rRNA from 1 species
UACGUAGGCAGCGAGCGUUGUUCGGAAUUACUGGGCGUAAAGAGUGUGUAGGCGGUGCUCUAAGUUCGGUGUGAAAUCUCCUGGCUCAACUGGGAGGGUGCGCCGGAAACUGGAGUGCUUGAGCGUGGGAGAGGGAUGCGGAAUUCCAGGUGUAGCGGUGAAAUGCGUAGAUAUCUGGAGGAACACCGGUGGCGAAGGCGGCAUCCUGGACCGAUACUGACGCUGAGGAGCGAAAGCCAGGGGAGCAAAGCGGG